rnacentral:rRNA from 1 species
UACGAAGGGGGCUAGCGUUAUUCGGAAUUAUUGGGCGUAAAGGGCGCGUAGGCGGCUUUGCAAGUGACGGGUGAAAUCCCUCGGCUUAACCGAGGAACUGCCUGUCAAACUGCAUGGCUUGAGACCGGGAGAGGUGAGUGGAAUUCCCAGUGUAGCGGUGAAAUGCGUAGAUAUCAAGAGGAACACCUGAGGUGAAGACGGGUUGCUGGGCUGACACUGACGCUGAGGCGCGAAAGCCAGGGGAGCAAACGGG